CGGUACUUGCAGAAGAAGCGCCGGCUAACUACGUGCCAGCAGCCGCGGUAAUACGUAGGGCGCGAGCGUUAUCCGGAAUUAUUGGGCGUAAAGAGCUUGUAGGCGGUUUGUCACGUCUGCUGUGAAAGCCCGGGGCUCAACUCCGGGUGUGCAGUGGGUACGGGCAGGCUAGAGUGCAGUAGGGGAGACUGGAAUUCCUGGUGUAGCGGUGAAAUGCGCAGAUAUCAGGAGGAACACCGAUGGCGAAGGCAGGUCUCUGGGCUGUUUCUGACGCUGAGAAGCGAAAGCAUGGGUAGCGAACAGGAUUAGAUACCCUGGUAGUCCAUGCCGUAAACGUUGGGCACUAGGUGUGGGGGGCGUUCCUCGUCGUCCGCGCCGUAGCUAACGCAUUAAGUGCCCCGCCUGGGGAGUACGGCCGCAAGGCUAAAACUCAAAGGAAUUGACGGGGGCCCGCACAAGCGGCGGAGCAUGCGGAUUAAUUCGAUGCAACGCGAAGAACCUUACCAAGGCUUGACAUACACCGGAUCGCUGCAGAGAUGUGGUUUCCCUUCGGGGCUGGUGUACAGGUGGUGCAUGGUUGUCGUCAGCUCGUGUCGUGAGAUGUUGGGUUAAGUCCCGCAACGAGCGCAACCCUUGUCCUAUGUUGCCAGCACGUAGUGGUGGGGACUCAUGGGAGACUGCCGGGGUCAACUCGGAGGAAGGUGGGGAUGACGUCAAAUCAUCAUGCCCCUUAUGUCUUGGGCUUCACGCAUGCUACAAUGGCUGGUACAGUGGGUUGCGAUACCGUGAGGUGGAGCUAAUCCCAUAAAGCUGGUCUCAGUUCGGAUCGAAGUCUGCAACUCGACUUCGUGAAGUGGAGUCGCUA
rnacentral:rRNA from 1 species